UUCCCUCCAGUUCGAUCAGAGACCAGAGCCAGACUACCCCAGAACCUGCCCCUACAUCUGUAGGAGAGGAGAAACCGACCAGGAAAGAGACUGACAAAGACAAUGAGACCGAGAUGGACAGAGAGGCCACCCCAGAAACCAUUCAAAUGACCCAGGAGACUGGGGUGGAAGUGGACAAACGCAUUGGCAAAGAAACCUGCAGUGACCCCAGUAAAGACACUGGCAGAGAGACCAGUAAAGACACUGGCAGAGAGACCAGUAAAGACACUGGCAGAGAGACCAGUAAAGACACUGGCAGAUGAGACAGUAAAGACACUGGCAGAGCAGACACCAGUAAAGACAACUGGCGAGAGAGAGAGCCAGUAAAGACACUGGCAGAGAGACCAGGCGAGAGACCAGUAAAGACACUGGCAGAGAGACCAGUAAAGACAAUGGCAGAAGACCAGUAAAGACACUGGCAGAGGACCCAGUAAAGACACUGGCAGAGAGACCAGUAAAGACACUGGCAGAGAGACCAGUAAAGACACUGGCAGAGAGACCAGUAAAGACACUGGCAGAGAGACCAGUAAAGACACUGGCAGAGAGACAGUUGUAAAGACACUGGCAGAGAGACCAGUAAAGACACUGGCAGAGAGACCAGUAAAGACACUGGCAGAGAGACCAGUAAAGACACUGGCAGAGAGACAAUAACAAAAGCUAGUCAAGAGACCCGAAAGGACAGCAGGAGCAGAGGGAAAGAUAAGGAGGCGGAAAAGAUAAUCAAGGAGAUGGAGACUGGCAAAAAAGAGACCAGUACAGAGACUCGCAAAAAGUUAGGGAGUAAGACUAGAAACAUGACAGUCCAUGAGACCAGCAAAGACACUGGGAAAAUGACCAGUACAGAGACUGUUAAGGAGACUGAGAGAGAGACUAGCACAGACAUGGAGAGAGAGACCUGUAGAGCUGUUAGUAUAGUGGCCAGUAGAAUCAGCAAUAGAGAAACCAAAAAAAAGCCAGAGACUUGUAAAACACCUGAAAAGAAGACCAAUACUCAGACUGUGAAAGAAAAAACUAAAGUGACUCCUCCCCCCAUCUCCCCUCCAACCACUAAUCUGUGGGAUUUCCUGAAGAGGCAGAACCGAGGAGCUGUGAUUGGUCUGAGUGCACUCAUCGAGUGCCACAGUCACGGCCAGCCCCCCCUCUACCUCUGCCAGGUGUGUGGGUGUAAAGUCUUCCAGAACGCCAUCAUCGUCCAUGUAACCACAGACUGCCACCGGCUUUCCUACCUGAGGUCGCUGAAGACAGUGGUUGUCCCCAAAGGGAACCAGCUCCAUAAGAAGUUGAGGAGAGCUGCCUUGAAGCUGGAGAGGACCAUGGGAUAUGGAGAGGCUGAGGUAACGGAGUUGGAUGCACACACUUACAAUUUUGUUGCAGAAAGAUCCUUUGCCAUUGGCCUGAACAUUGUAAUGAAGGUCAUAAAUGGUGACCCUUCACCUGACCCCCUACUGUUGGUCAGCCCUAAACCCCCUGACCCCUCACCCCAGGUCAGCCCUGACCCCUCACUCCAGGUGUCAGAGGUCAGCAACCCCACCAUGACCUCUACAGCUCUGUGGUCCUACCUGAAUGCCUCCACCAGGACACAGCCUGUCAUCGGUGUCAGUAUGUUGACAGAGUUGCCAGACAGACAUGGUGACUACUUCCUCUGCCGCUGCUGUUCUCACAGGAUGUUUACAUCAUCCCUCAUUGGACACCUAAUCUCUGCUCGACACCGCUACCACUACAUAAAACUAGUGUACCCUGAGCUGGCUGCUGAUUGGCCAGUGAGCCCAGAGCUGACGGUGAAGGCGGGGCCUCUUCAUGAGGAGCUGAGAGUGAGAGCUGCAGAACUGGAGGCACAGGAGGGACUAGGACAGCUCACGGUGGUAAAGAGAGAACCUGCUGCUGGAGACACAACCACUACCAAUACUGAAGGGACUGCCCAGCAGAGCCAGAACGGCUCACCUCCUCUCUCUGUGAAAGAGGAACCGGUUGACUCCACAGUACCAUCCCAGCCCCCUAGAGGAGAAAAGAGGAACAAGAGGAGGAGCAACCCUGUGGUUGGUCAGUAUUCCUGUUAUCAAGGCUGCCGUUGGUUGGUUCAUCAGUCUCUCAGUUUGGACAGUAUCUCAAGUUUGGACCGUAAUACUAUUUUGAAGAGACCUGUGCGUGGGUGUUGA
ensembl:lncRNA